UACGUAGGGUGCGAGCGUUGUCCGGAAUUAUUGGGCGUAAAGAGCUUGUAGGCGGUUUGUCGCGUCUGCUGUGAAAUCUCAAGGCUCAACCUUGAGCUUGCAGUGGGUACGGGCAGACUAGAGUGUGGUAGGGGAGACUGGAAUUCCUGGUGUAGCGGUGAAAUGCGCAGAUAUCAGGAAGAACACCGGUGGCGAAGGCGGCUCUCUGGGCCUUACCUGACGCUGAGGAGCGAAAGCGUGGGGAGCGAACAGG
rnacentral:rRNA from 1 species